rnacentral:tRNA from 1 species
GCCCUCAUGGUGUAAUGGUCAACACGCUCGGAGCGUAUUCGACAGGUCCGAGGUUCGAGUCCCGGUGAGGGCA